UGGUUGUUGGUUAAAAAAAAGCACAAGUGAGAUCAUUUUCUCUCAUUUCCCAUUUGAAGGACGACACAGUAGAAGGCAAAAGAUGUGUGGCGUAGAUGAAAAUGCAACUUCCUGUUAAGAAAGGGCCUUAACGCAAAGCUGAAGAGGAGAGUGUCUCUGACACUGCUCUGCUGUCUCUAGACCCCUAAAAACAGCUUAAGGAUUUUUUUUGAAGGUGAAAACUCUCCGGCAACUGAACCGACCGAUUAGACGCACGAGAACACGACAUAUGGUGUCUUAGAAACGGCUUUUGAACUCUUGGAUAUGGCGAGAUUUUUUACGCUAGGACCCUUGGUUUUGGUCCUAUGCUUGGUCUUAUACCCCCCAAACUCACAGACUGAAGGAGACAACAAACCAAAGACAGAUGUCAGUGCUGACCAAUCAAAGAACGCCACACCUCCCACUGCUCACAUCCCUACAUUACCUACCACUAAAGACCCCUCAAACUCACAGACUGAAGGAGACAACAAACCAAAGACAGGUGUCAGUGCUGACCAAUCAAAGAACACCACACCACCCACUGCUCACACCCCUACAUUACCUACCACUAAAGACCCCUCAAACUCACAGACUGAAGGAGACAACAAACCAAAGACAGGUGUCAGUGCUGACCAAUCAAAGAACGCCACACCUCCCACUGCUCACAUCCCUACAUUACCUACCACUAAAGGUAACCACGACAACACGCAUCACCACAGCACACACACACUCCAGCAUUAUACAGUAUCUCUCUCACACUCAUCACUCAUGACCUCUGACCUCCAUCCUCCCAUCAUGUACACUGUGAACUCUCCUUCAGAAUCACAUCUUCAGUGCUGCGCUCAUGAGCAGUGUUAUACUUUUAUAAUGUUGCUAAUCUUUAUUUAUAAGAAAGUGUUUCCUAUAAGAAUCCCAUAAUAACUGUUCUGCAGGUUGAUGUCUUCACAUGAUAAACAGAUAAGGGUCAAAAUAAUAUUGACCAACAGCCAAGGCAUUAUUUUUGAUGAAUGUUGCAAAUAAUACAAAUACUGAAUGGCAUUUCAUGUUGAGUUUAAAGUCUGUAAACAUAAGUUAUUUCAAAUGAAUAUGUGACCUCUAUCCUGUGACACAGUCUACAUUAGAACCAGUAAAGAAGCGCUUGGGUUACUUGUAGGUGAAUAGAUGUAGCUCGUCUUUCAAUAAUCAGUCAUAUUCAUUAGAUUCUGGAAACAUUCACAUUAUAGAAAAGUGUUUUUUAUAUAAUCUAUAACAAAGGUCAUUUUUAUUGAAUUAUAGGUAACUUCACAAAUAGAUCUAGAAAAAAAAAAAAAAAAAACAUUGAUUGUGAUGUUACUUGUGUGUAUUUACUGAAAUAGCUUUAUAAUAUAGAAAUAUUUAGCAGUAUCUAGUAGUCACACUUAGAAAGUUUGAUCCUUUAUUGUACAGACAUGUACAAUUUUUAUUGUAUUUUUUUUUUCCUCUGAGAACAGAGUUUAGAAUAACACUCACCUCUAACAGGUAAUGAAGUGCCCAGAUUACUUGUAAAUGAGUUAGUUUGAGUUAUUAUUAUUAUUAUUAUUAUUAUUAUUAUUAUUAUUAUUAUUAUUGUAAUAUUAUUAUUUAAUUUUUUUCGUAUUCUCAAAAUCCCAUUUCUAAAAAUUCGUAAACAUGGUUUCUC
ensembl:lncRNA